rnacentral:rRNA from 1 species
CCCUUAGAUGUUCUGGGCCGCACGCGCGCUACACUGAUGCAUUCAACAAGCCUAGCCUUGACCGAGAGGUCCGGGUAAUCUUUGAAACUGCAUCGUGAUGGGGCUAGAUUAUUGCAAUUAUUAAUCUUCAACGAGGAAUGCCUAGUAAGCGUGAUUCAUCAAAUCGCGUUGAUUACGUCCCUGCCCUUUGUACACACCGCCCGUCGCUCCUACCGAUUGAAUGUUCCGGUGAGCUCUUCGGACUGCGCGGUCUGCAGUUUCUGCGUUCCGUGCGGAAAGUUGCGCAAACCUUAACAUUUAGAGGAAGGAGAAGUCGUAACA